ACGCUCAGGUCUUCCAGCAUCGACGAAUAUGCGUUUCGCCUUUUACUAAACGCAUCCGUGCUGGGGGACAAAGUGAUAUCAACUUGGAGCGUAGCUUUUAAUCUAUGGCUUUCCACAGCCCAGCGAAAA
rnacentral:snRNA from 1 species